GAUGAACGCUGGCGGCGUGCCUAAUACAUGCAAGUCGAGCGAACAGACGAGGAGCUUGCUCCUCUGACGUUAGCGGCGGACGGGUGAGUAACACGUGGAUAACCUACCUAUAAGACUGGGAUAACUUCGGGAAACCGGAGCUAAUACCGGAUAAUAUAUUGAACCGCAUGGUUCAAUAGUGAAAGACGGUUUUGCUGUCACUUAUAGAUGGAUCCGCGCCGCAUUAGCUAGUUGGUAAGGUAACGGCUUACCAAGGCAACGAUGCGUAGCCGACCUGAGAGGGUGAUCGGCCACACUGGAACUGAGACACGGUACAGACGCCUACGGGAGGCAGCAGUAGGGAAUCUUCCGCAAUGGGCGAAAGCCUGACGGAGCGACGCCGCGUGAGUGAUGAAGGUCUUCGGAUCGUAAAACUCUGUUAUUAGGGAAGAACAAAUGUGUAAGUAACUAUGCACGUCUUGACGGUACCUAAUCAGAAAGCCACGGCUAACUACGU
rnacentral:rRNA from 1 species